rnacentral:sRNA from 1 species
UCAAAAUUGCUUGUAUAUUUAAAUAUUUAGCCAUAUGAACCACCAAGAGAUGCUCUAGGUCUGACCUAUAUAUCUGACCUUAACCAAGAAGAUGCUGAACGAAUAAAAAAUGUUGCAUAUGAGGAACUGAAACUAUUAUUGGAGAAGCACAAUAUUGCAUAUACAAAGACGAAGGCAAAGAAACGAACUACAGAUAAUGGACUAUUUGGGACAGCACUUGAAGUACUUGUUGCAAAGGAUAUUUAUAACAAUAGACUUGUUUCUGAUCUGAAAGUUCCAGCUGUAUUUUCAUUGAUGGUUCGAUUCAUUGAGAAAAAUGGCAUACAAGGGAUCUUCAGGGUACCAGGAUCAACCGAAAGAAUCAAA